rnacentral:lncRNA from 1 species
AAGAUAUUGAUUUGGCUUUUAAGCAACUUCAUGAAGGUGUAGAUGUUGAGGAAGUAGUUCUUGCAAGCAUGAUUGAGGAUCAGCUGGAUCAUGAAGAUUUCACUUCAAAGUUACCUGUUGUCGAGGCAAGAUCUCUGGAGGAUAUACAUAAUGCUUUCCAAAAAGGUCCAGAACCUAAUCUGGCCGAGCUGCCACUUUCCACAGACUUGAGAAAUGGAUCAUCAGAAAUGGAGCAGCAUGAUGUGGUUUCUAAUAAAGAGAUUGAAGUUGGCCGUGCCGUCUCUGGCAUUCAAGAAAAUAGUCAGAAUUCUGCCGGUGAACCAAAAAAUGACCAUGAAGAAACAGAGGAAAUGAAGAUGGAGACCAAUGCAGAGCUGCCUGUUCUUGAAGCAAGAUCAUUGGAAGACAUUGAUUUGGCUUUUAAGCAAUUUCAUGAAGGAGUUGAUGUUGAGGAAAUAAUUCUUCCAAG